GAAAGAAUAUCGGAGACGGAUGGGCAUGCGGCGCAUUAGCUAGUUGGCGGGGUAACGGCCCACCAAGGCGACGAUGCGUAGGGGUUCUGAGAGGAAGGUCCCCCACACUGGUACUGAGACACGGACCAGACUCCUACGGGAGGCAGCAGUGAGGAAUAUUGGUCAAUGGGCGAGAGCCUGAACCAGCCAAGUCGCGUGAGGGAGUACUGCCCUAUGGGUUGUAAACCUCUUUUGUCGGGGAGCAAAAGCCGGACGUGUCCGGCUGUGAGAGUACCCGAAGAAAAAGCAUCGGCUAACUCCGUGCCAGCAGCCGCGGUAAUACGGAGGAUGCGAGCGUUAUCCGGAUUUAUUGGGUUUAAAGGGUGCGCAGGCGGAUUUUUAAGUCAGCGGUCAAAUCGUGGGGCUCAACCCCAUCCAGCCGUUGAAACUGGGGAUCUAGAGUGUGCGAGAGGUAUGCGGAAUGCGUGGUGUAGCGGUGAAAUGCAUAGAUAUCACGCAGAACCCCGAUUGCGAAGGCAGCAUACCGGUGCACAACUGACGCUCAGGCACGAAAGCGUGGGUAUCGAACAGGAUUAGAUACCCUGGUAGUCCACGCAGUAAACGAUGAAUGCUACCUGUUUGGCCAGAUUGAUGGCUGA
rnacentral:rRNA from 1 species